UACGGGGGGGGCAAGCGUUGUUCGGAAUUACUGGGCGUAAAGGCUCGUAGGCGGCCAACUAAGUCAGACGUGAAAUCCCUCGGCUUAACCGGGGAACUGCGUCUGAUACUGGAUGGCUUGAGUGUGGGAGAGGGAUGCGGAAUUCCGAGGUGUAGCGGUGAAAUGCGAUAGAUAUCUGGAGGAACACCGGUGGCGAAGGCGGCAUCCUGGACCAACACUGACACUGAGGAGCGAAAGCCAGGGGAGCAAACGGG
rnacentral:rRNA from 1 species